CUUGGCGGCCAUAGCGCGGUGGUCCCACCUGAUCCCAUGCCGAACUCAGAAGUGAAACGCCGUAGCGCCGAUGGUAGUGUGGGGU
rnacentral:rRNA from 1 species